AUAUUUUUCUGGCAGAGAAGAUACCAUGAUCAUAAAAGUGGUUUUCACAGAGCGAAGUUUAUUUUUUGCACGUUGGCUGUGCUGAUCCCUGCGAUUUUCUCCAAUGCGAGGAACUUGACUGCGUAAUUGGUGGUAGGGGGGACUGUGUUCGCGCUGUUCUCUG